UCUCACAAUUUCUCUUUACUCUUUCCUAAGGGUAUAUUUGGUACAAAGAAAAAUAUAUUGUUACAAUUUUUUCAUGUUUGGUAAAUUUUUGGAAAAUCAUUUUCUCGGGAUAUUUUUUUCUUAAAAAGAUGAGGAAAAUGAGUUUAGAAAAGAAGUUUCAUAAGUACAAUUAGAGGUAGAGCGAUUUUUUUUUAAGGAUUCUGAAUCUGAGAAUGACGAGUAAAGAAGUCUUCCAUUUUAUUUUUCUUGAAUAGACAAACACAACACGUGAAUCACCAAUUCAUUUGAGUUGGAUGGUCCAUGUCCACGUGGGAAUAUAAUAUUGUAUAUAUUUAAAUAAUCUUUUGUAAGUGGCUAUAACUAAAUUUUGAAUCUAAUAUUUAUAUACUUUUAAUAAAUUUCUUGAUACAAGUAUAAACUAUUCUAAUUGAGUAAAAGUUACUAAGUUCUAUCGAAUCUAUAAUCGGACUUCUAGCUUCGCACUGACAUUCCACACUUAUUUGUCUCCUACCUAUUUCCAGCAUAGCCCACCCCACCACCAGGGGCGGAGCUACUGUAGCAGAAGGGGGUUCGGGCGAACCCAUUGACUUUUCUGUAGAUCUAGUAUUCGUAUUAAAAUAUCAAAUAUAAAGUACAUAUAAAUUUACUCGAACCCACAAGCAUAGUGAGGUGUGUAGCCCAGUGAUUUUUGUGCACCCAGUCACUGUAUUUUUGGAAUUAUUUUCUAACAUACCACGUAUAAAGACAUACAUAGGUUUAUAUAAUAAAAAAAAAUUAAAAAAACAGAAUGGUAAAUGAAAAAAGUGUUUUUGAAAUUAAUUCUAACCUUAAAGAUAAUAACAUAAGUAGGUUUAUAUAUUUAUUUUUUAAAAAAAUCGGUAAAUGAAAACAAACGUAGGUUUAUAUAAAAAAAAACAAAAAAAAACAGAAUGGUAAAUGAAAAAAGUGUUUUUGGAAUUAAUUUCUAACCUAAAGAUAAUAACAUAAGUAGGUUUACAUAUUUAUUUAUUUAUUUUUUUUAAAAAAAAUAGAAAAUCAGUAAAUGAAAAUAAAUAGAAAAACAGUGUUUGUGUCAUACUCUAAAACAAUAUCUAACCAUUGAUAUCUACUCAGAGGUUCAAAAAAACUUUGACCCAAAUUUAUUUUUAAAAGUUACGGUUCUGACUUUUAUUGUUAUUGUGACUGCUACCAUCCGACCUUUGUCCUCCGGUAUGUACUAUGUACUCUCGCCUCUCCUUUUUUAAUUUUUUUCUUAUUUGUUUUCUUUUACAUUGUUUAAUUAUCUAUUCAAAAAUUAAUUUUUAAUCUUUGAUUCUAGGGUUAUCCCACAUAUUGAUAAUUGAUUAUGUUAAAAUAACUGUUGUUUGUUUUUCGAAAUUUUAACUUUUGAAGGCAAUAAUGGUUCAAGGUAAGCUAGUAAAAUAUAUGUUGGUGCCAAAAUAUUAAUGGUGAAUCUAAUAAUUUUAAUCUCACUUAGAAAAAUUAUAGUAAAACUGUUCAAAAUUUAUAUUUAAAAAGUUAUUCAUUUUUUAAUAACAAUAUUUUAGAACUUGAAAAUAAAUUACUCAAAUCUUCAUAUUAUUAAAUCAAGUUUUUACAAUAAAAAUAUCUAAGGUAAUAUUUUCAAACAUGAUUAACAUCUCAUUAACAAAAUUUGUGUUUUGUGAUUUUUAAGAUCGUUGUUCUUUUUAAAAUUUAGAACCCACGGGCCUGAAAUCCUGACUCCGCAUCUGCCCACCACCACUCUUCUCACAUUAUUUUCUUAGAUUAUGAAGAAAAAAGCUAUUCUACUUAUUUAUCAAACACCAAAAAAUAUUUUCCUUAAUACCAAGAACACCCUAAAUCUAUGACUUUAUUUCUUAUUAAAAAAGAAUGCUAUUCUCAUGCAUGAAACAUUAAUCUUUUUCUUUUUCUCCUUUUCCCUUUAUUACUGCUUUCAAAGCCAUGACCAAUUAGGAAAACAUAUUCUCCCUAUAAUGCAUUUUGAAUUUAACUUACGCUGACAGUAUAAAGAAUUUUACAGGCCGAAAGGGCUUGACACCAGCAGAAUCUGCAAAGCUUGGUGGUAGCUACAAUAUAUUCCUACAAACUUCAUUACCAGAAAAUGUUCGACUCUACAAUCCUGACGAUGAAACAUUUGAAUCAUCACAAAAUCUUUUCAGAUCGAUAUUUUUACGAGGAUUCGCGAUCGAAAUCCUCCAUGUUUAUUCAGGACCACCAGGAAUUGUUUACAGAUUUAGGCAUUGGGGUUACAUGGAUGGUCCAUUUAAAGGACAUGCUCCAACUGGACAACUUAUUGAGCUCUUUGGAAUUGGCACAUUUGAAGUAAUUAACAAAAAACCAUCUACAUUUCUUUAUUUUUAUUUUAUUUUAAAAAAAAUUUAUAUACAUUUUGUGAAAUAUAUAAUUUAAAUGUUAAUUUGUUGAAACAGUUGGAUAAAGAGAGUAACAAGAUUAUAAAGGCAGAGAUGUUUUUUGAUAGAGGAGAAUUGCUUGGAGGACUUGUGAAAGGAGAAAGCAAUGUUGCUUCAACAUGUCCUUUUAUGAAAUAAGAAGAAAUUAUUACUAGCAAAAUGUUGCUUAUUUACAAGAUGUAUGUGGUUAUGUUUUAUUAUUUUACUAAAAAUGUGUAGCUUACCUUUGAAGCACAUGGUUUGUUUAAUAUUUCACAUAAAAAGUACUCAUGUUCUAUGAUUUUUUUUUCUCUUUGACUACAAGUUUUAUACAUUUAAUUAUCUUUUAUACUUGUGAAAGAUUGUUAGUACUUGUAGUACUGUUUAUGCAAUUUAGUAUUUAAAUUAAAGAAGAGCUCUUUAGGUCUCAUUUAUGUUGAUAAAAAUCUUAUAAUUUUGAUUGCAAUCAUUAAAUUCAUUUGAUUUUAAGAUCUUAAUCUUAAUUAUUAAAUUUGUUUUUUGACAACCCCUAAAUGGAUCUAAUAAAUGUUUAAGGUCUCAUUGAUUACGCUUAAUGAAUGUCUUAAUUUUAAUCAAAUCAUUUAGGUCUAGUUUUUAAUAAUUCAAAUUUUAACCAUCAAGUGCAUUUGAUUUUUUGAUGUUACAACCAUUUAAUGGUUAUUAAUGAUUAAAAUAUGUAACAAAGUCUUAAACUCUAAUUUGAGAUGUCUAUUCAAAUAUUUCUAGAGAUGGUAGUUCAUUAAUUCCAUCAAUCCACUGUUAUUGUCAUCGCUUAUCACUAUCAAUUAUCACGAACAUUGCACAUUGUUAUCAACUAUCAUCAUUCAUAACCCACGAUGAUCAUCAUCCUCAUUCAUAUCAACCAUUGUUGUCAAUAGCUACAAUCAGUUAUCACCAUCACUAUCCACCAUUUACAAUUAUCACCACAAAACCAUCAUUAACACAACGUGCAAUCACUACAGAUAAUCAUCACCACUAGUUACCAUUAUAUAAUGUAAACCACUGACACCAUUCACCAUGAUCAUUAUCAUCCACCACAACCAUUUGUUAUUGACACCAAUUUCCACCAUCAACCACUACUAGCAGCAACCAUCACCAUUCUAUCCACAACAACACUAUCAACCAACACCAUCUCCAAUUGACACUCGUAACCAUAAUCAUCCACCGCUACAUAAUUAAAGAAAAAGAAUACUGCAAAAAUAAUACCUGCAAAAAUACAAAGACAUAAUUAAGGUUGUAAUAUACAACUAUAUAUUUUCCAGUUACAUCAUACAUAGGGAAUGUAAAACAUCAUGUUCAUUUCAUUUUUCAAAUGCAACAUUUUCUUUCAUAAACUUAACAAAAACCAAACUAUGUCAAACUCAGAAAAGUUCAAUUCUGUUCAAUAUGUUCAUACAAUAUCUGAGGCCGGUCGCCUUCUUCCUUCUGCCAAUUGUUGGAACUCGAUAGAAUUGGACUUCAAUCUCCUCCCUAAAUCAUCUUUAAAUGAAAAUUUCGAGUCUUUACAAUCAAGAUUUUCAAAAUCUAUUGAUUUUAACCUGUUUGUUAAAAUAAAAUCCAUUUUAAGCGAUUCCUCGUUGUAUCAGCCUUGAUAAUCCUCAUUAUACCUUCUCUUAUUCUUCUUAAGCAUUUUUAUCAUCCAAGAAAACAUCAUCAUGACUCUUCCCACAAUAUCACUCUUGCUCUUAACAAAGCUCUUCUCUUCUUUGAUGCUCAGAAAUGUAUAGUGCAUACAAUUUUAUACUGUUUUCUUUUAUGUUUAUGACUUCCUUCCCCUGUUUCCUUUUUUGGUGGUUGGUUAAAUGAUCUUUUUUUAUUCGUGCAGCGGGGCGAUUUAUGGAGAAUAGUUUGAUAAGGUUUAGAGGGGAUUCAGGGAUGAAUGAUGGGAAUAGCAAUGAGAAGAAUUUAGAUCUUGGUGGUGGUUUUUAUGAUGCUGGAAAUAAUAUAAAGUUUAGUUUCACUAUAGCUUAUACUGUUAGUCUUUUGUGCUGGACAGUGAUUGAAUAUCAUGAAAAGUAUGAAGAUAUUGGAGAAAUUGAUCAUGUUAAAGAUAUAAUCAAUUGGGGUAGUUUAUAUUUGCUUUAACUCUUUGUUCCUCCAAAUAAUUCUUCAGCUAGAAUCUACUCUCAGGUACUAAUCAAGAAUCUGAAUUCAAGACUAUUUUGAGUUAAUCGUCGAAAACAUACAUGAACUAUCACUUUUUCAUGAGUUUCACAUCUCAACUGUCAAUUGUUCUCUUUUCCUAUCUGAUUUAUCACCCAUAUGUGUAUUAAAACACACCGCAAAGCUGACUAGGCCAAAUCAGUUGUUCCCUUUUCCGACCUUAACUGUCACCGUAUAUUCAACUAGGCUUAUUUUAGAACAUAGAUGGUGAUAGUUCAGGUAGGAAAAGGGAAUCGCUGAUAGUUGGAGUGUGAAACUCGCGAAAAAGUGAUAGUUCGGAUGUGUUUUGGACCAUUUUCUCUAAUAUUUUAGGAUUAAAAUUUCAAUCUUUUGUUGAUUUCUCAUUUCAGGUUGGAGGGAAUAAUUCAAAUGCUGAGAAUGAUCUAACUUGUUGGCAAAGGCCAGAAGACAUGAAUUACCCAAGGCUUGUUUCGGUUUGUGACAUUAGUACUGCUUCAGACUUAGCAGGGGAAAUGGUAGCAGCAAUGUCAGCUGCAUCAUUAGUAUUGAAAGAAGAUAAGGACAUUUCAGAGGAAUUGGUGAAAACAGCAGAGGAAUUGUUCAUUCUUGCGAAUAGAAGAGCAAAGAAAGGAAAGUACACGACGAAUGAUGAGUGUGGAGGACAAGCUAGACAAUUUAAUAACUCAACUAGUUAUAAAGAUGAAUUGGAUUGGGGUUGUUUUUUGCUACAGGAAACAAAACUUACCUUAAGUAUGCAACAGAAAACUUUGCCUCAGCUGUAAAGGAACAGGUAGCUUCUGAUGAAGACGUCUUCGAUUGGAACAACAAGAUUACUGCUAUAUCGGUAACUUGGCACAAAAUCUUGAUGAGAAAUAAUGUUUUGUUGUUGUAUGCUUUUCAUCUUAAGACUGAAACUUACUACUGUUAUAUAGAUACUGCUAACAAGGAUUAGGUACUUUCGGGAUCUUGGUUAUCCAUAUGAGUCUUCGUUUAUAUCAUCAACGAACAAUAUUGAUUUGCUCUUGUGUUCGUAUACUUCUGAUAAAAAGUACAGCAAAACAGCAGGUGAUGUCUCAAUGUUCAUAUUUUUUGCUAUUCAUAGCUUAAAGACAUUAAAAAUUGAUGCAUUUUCAGUUGGACUAAUCCUUUUAAAGCCAAGCACUGAUGCAGCACUACUCCAGUAUGCUGCAACAUCUUCUUUUCUUAGCAAAUUGUAUAGUGACUAUCUUCAGCUUUUGCGUACACCAAGCAGAAGGUUUCUGAUUCUGUCUUUUCCUUGGAAAGUUUAAAACAAUUCUCACUAUCACAGGUGAUAGUUCUUAUUAAGGAGUACCCCUCAAAAGUACCAAUUUUCGCGUAUCUUUAUGAGGCUACACCUUCUUAUAAUUAGAAUGCAUACAACACUAUUCCUGACGUUUUUUCGGACAAAAGAAGUAAACCGAGCCAAAUAUAGCAAGUAAUGUUGGGCUUGUAGCAGCACUGGCUGCUCUUCAUGAUCCUCCUACUGGAUCUUCUUUAGGUAAUUUAGGAAUAGACUAGCAUGGUAUGUUUGAAAAUGUAAAAGAAGUGUCUUGAGUAGAAAGGAAGUAACUAGUUACUCUUACUCCCUCUAUUUCAAUUUAUUUUUUUAACUUUCCCUAAAAUAGUCCGUUUUCAAAAAGAAUAGUACCUUUUUCUUGUUUAGAGAACUCUUUAAUUCCAACUUUUCACCUGACACGUUUGAAAUCUCAAGUGUCAUGAACUGCAUUUUGGUAUAUAUUCUAUAUAUCUUUAGUAUGAAACCACAACAUUCAAAAGUCAUUUUUAAGAAUUUCAUGUCAAGUAAAAAAAAUAAACAAAUUAAAACAAAGGAAAUAGCAGUUACUUGACAUUGUUUAGAUAAUUAAUUAAGGUUCAUAAGGACAAAUAGUUGCAUCAAUUUUUAUCUAUAAUUAAGCAGUAAAAAAGUUUAUAUAUGCAAGACACAUGUCUUAUAUUAAAUCGUUUGAUGCAAACACCGGAUGCAUUACUUACAUGCACCUAGUGUUUACAUCAAACCACACAAUCUAAUCUUAAAAUCGCGAAUUAGAAUAAAAGGUACACAUAGAUAUGUACCAAAUGAAGUGUACGUUCACAUAACUGAAUUUGGGAUGUAUAUUUUACAUAACAAGCAAAAAAAAAGGAUAAUGGUUAGAAAACUUUUAAAAAAAGUUAUAUUUACAACUAGCUUGUCACAUUUUCUUGGACAUGCAUGCACUUUCAUCUUCAAGCAGAUUUGAAGAUAUCAAUACCAUAUACAGCCUACAAAAUAAAGGUUAAAUAAACAAUUAUCAGAAAUUAAGAAGAAAAUAAUUGUUAUUGGAUCAUUAAUUAGUGUAGAGUUAAAUAUAAUUAUAAAAUAAAUUAUAUUGAGAUCAAUCUUACCAAAACUUCAUGAAUUUCUUCUAACAAAGGUGCCAAUAGUGAAAUGAAGGUUCGCAAUUCCUUCUUAAAAUCAUCGUUAUUUUUAUCUUUUCCCUUCAGAAUUGUGAUUAACCCCUUGCUAUCUGGCACUAGCUUUAGUACUACCUGCAGAAUAAUUGUUUAAUUUUCAGAUAAAAUAACUUAAUAACAUAUUUUUACACUAUAUAGCGGCCCAUCAAAAUAAUAGCCGGAUUUUUUUUUGUGUAUACUAAUGUGUGUGUGUAUAUAUAUAUAUAUAUAUAUAUAUAUAUAUAUAUUAUACAUAAGUAGUGUAUAUUUUUGGGAUAAUUAUGAUCCUAAACAGUUCGGCCAACUAGUUUAUAAAAUAUGUACAGUAUGUAUAUAUUGUGUAUAUUUAUACUAAAUAUACACAUCCAUUCACAAUGUAUACACUAUCAAUGUAUAUUUUAACCAUAUUGAUAAACUAGUUGGCCGAACUAUACACGUAUCCGUGACAUUCCCUAUACUCCUUAUUCAUGUGAAUAGUAAAAAUUGAAUAUAAAAAAAAGAAAAGAAAAUGACCUUGAAGACAGCUGAAGAGAUCCAUCCAUGCCAGGGCUUAAGGGUGUUAGUGUAAGAUUCUUGAACAGCUUGCUCCAUGUUCCUCUCUAAAUCAUCAGCCAGUAGUUGUAACAAUGCUAAGGUGAAAUCCAAGGAUCUGAAGUAUAUAUCCAAUAUUCUAAACUACUAACUUCAAUUCAAACCAAUUUUUACAUCGUCAAUAAAAACAAUUUCUUAUAUUAUCGAGUCAUUCAAAGGAUAUCUAAAAUAAAACAUGUUACUUAUCAUAACAAGUAAUGAUGAUAUGAUGAAGUAAAAGUUAUAUACACUGUCAGUGCAUAUUAUUUAAACUCUUUAAAGUAAACUCAUAAUUCUGUGGAUCAAGUGAAAACAUCAUGAAGGAAAGCAUUAUUACCCUUGAGACACUAUGAUCUACAUGAACUAACACUAGUAUUCCAUCCUAAUUUGCAGAAAUACAUACAUUCACGUAAAUAUAAAUCAGAGAGACAGAUCGAGAAUUUUAAAUUUGAUGAGUUCAAAUUAUCUUUAAGCUUGUAUACGUACAACUGAUUUCAUUAUCUAGGAUUUAUAGGUUCAAAACAUAACACUUUAUAAGUUGUUUUUACUAAUUUUCUACAUCCAUUUAUGUUUUGUGUCUAUAAUAUUUUGAUUAAAUUUUAUUAGUUCUCCUUAAUUACAAGAACCUUCUCUAAAUACUUGGUGUCUGGUGAAUAGAAAGAAAGUGACCACCGAAAGAUGUGGUGUAGUGGAUGAGGUUGUUCCUUCCUUAAUCAGAGGUUUCAUAUUCGAGCCCUAAAUAUGAAAUAAUUUUUGAUAGAAAACGCUACCUCGAAUGGGUCCUCCCCAAAGCAAAAAAUGUAUAAAGAAAGUGAAAAUAUGCAAAGUGUUAAUUUACCUGGUGAGCCAAAGAAAAGCUUUGCAACAGGUUCCUUUGCCUGAUUGAAAUAUCUCUUUCUUUAAUAUCUCAACCAUAUUUGAGUAGAGAGGAGGGUAUAAAUCAUGCACCUUUUCCAAUUUCUAUACAUUUGAUAUACACAAAUAAACUAUAUAUAUAAGUAUAUGUUAAAAAUAAGAAAUUAAAAUUAAUGUGUACAAUGACGUAUUAGAAACAAACAAAGAAGGGCAAAAAUAUGCAUGUAAUGGUGUAAUGUAAGGUAACGAUCGAUAAAGUGGAUAAAAAUCAUAAGGAUUUUAAUUUGAUAUUUAUAUUAGUGGAAAAGUAUUUACGAAACUAAAAUAGUCAAGUGUAGUAGUAGUUAAAACAUCAAUUUAUCCAUAAAAGUCAAGAUGAGGAAAUUUUGGCAGCAUCAGGCUUCAUGAAUAAUGUACGUUGGGGACCCAGAAUUAAAAUCCAAAUCGUCUGUUUUACACAUACUAUAUGAAAAUACCUUACAACUUUAUCCACAUAGUACAAAAAAAAAUAAUUAUUACUCCAUACGACAAACAUUAUAAAUCACUCUAUUAAUAUUAUAAAAGAUUUUUUUAUUAACUAAAAGUUAAAAUCAAAGAAGAAAAGAUGAUUUAUAAAAUAAUAAUUAUUACGAUAAGCGAUAACAAUCUGAAAAAAAUUAGGAUAACUCGAUCUUAUCAUUGAUUUGCAUGUUGAAGUCUCUAUUUACAAAAGUAUUUCUCUCAAUCUUCAUUUAUGUGUUUUAGUUUAUGUGAAUAUAAAAUUUUAAAAAAUAAAUAGGAAAUUUUAAAAAAUUUAUAAUAUUAAUUAAAACUAUAUGUAAUAUUAUAAACCUCAUAAUUUUAAAUUUGUGAUAUCAAAAUUAAAAUUGAGGCAAAUCAAAAUGAAAAGCAUAAAUUGAGACGGAGAAUAUAUAUUCCGUGAUGAUGCACAAACGCACAAAAAAAUUUGCUUUUCCUUUUCCUCCCUCGCUUACAAUUACUUUCAAUUCCAACCAAUUUCUAGUUAAUGCACCCAUAAGAACCCAACAAUCCCCCGUAUGGAGCCACUGUCGUUUCGAAGAAAACAAAAAGGCAGAUUUCAAGUCUUUAGUUUCCCAAUAAAUUCAAAUUUCAUUUUUUUUUAAAAUCCUACUCUCUCAUACCAGAAAAAGAUUCACCCUCUCAAAUCAAAAGAGAUUCAAAGGUCGAACUACGUAGGACCUGAAUUCUCUCUCGGAGAUACGUAGGCAGCCUUUCAAGGCUCGGUCCCCAUUUUGAGAAAUUUAAUCUUUUUCCAACUCUUGCAAGGAGAAUAGAGUUUCAUCAAUCGAAAAUCGAAAAUAUGACAAUAAAAGAUACAAUCAACUUUGUCUCGACUCAAGUUGACAUUUCUGAUCCACUAAGUUCAAAAUCAAAUACACAAAUUCCUGUCUAUUUAGUCAUUUCUCUAAAUGCAUGGGCUAGUUUAUCUUCAAGUAGAGCUAUGUGUUUGUGGUCAUAUGUGUGAUAUUUUAUAUUAUUUAUCAUCUACAUAGACUAACACGUUUAUCUUUUGAGUUAUUUUUCUUUGUCAGGUAUUUAGAACUGAUCUGUGUUGAUAAGCUGGCUGAACACCCUUAUUUUACAAGAUCUAAGGCUCCCAAAUAUUCCUUCCCCGAUCAAAAUUCGCAAAAAGGAAAGGCAGUAAUGGGUGAUAACAAUGAAGAGAUUGGCUUAACUGAUGUUGUUGUGGCUCAGCCCACUGUCGCUGAUCAAAAUGAAUUAAUUAUGCAAAGAAGACAAGAUCUACCGAAUCCAAUUUUUUCGGUCAACCCUCUAGGAGAUGGAAGACCUCCACUCCACUUUCCUCCUCCAAGCGCGGAACAGGUUCAAAAUCCACUAUCUAACCCCGCUCAAAAUCCCCCAAUCAUCGACCUAACCGCUCCAAAUCUCCAUCAUGCCUCCGUCUCUUACCAAGUGCCACCUCCUCCUCAAGAUACCAACCUCCAAGCGCCACUUCCUCCUCGAAAUGCAAACCCGUAAGCUUGCCCUCCCCCUCUAAAUUUCAAUAAUCCGCAAACCUUCCCCACCACCAAAAUCAACAUGCCAACCCCCAGAUUUUCCCCCGAAAUCACCAAGCCACUCAAAAUAUCGAGAGUCCCUCCAUUGCUCCACCAUUGCCUGAAAAGACUAUUUUUCAAAUUCCAAUUCAAAGUGAACCCUAUGCCAACUGUUCCGAGCUUGAUCACUAUGAGGACCAGAAGAGAGAGUGGAGGUCAAAGGAAGAGGCAGCCAAGAUGAAAAUGAAAAAAGAGAUCAGGAAAGCCAUGAAGGAGUUGCGUUAUAUUCCUGAAAUCGAUGGGUUGAGUUAUGAGGAUCUGUGCAUCCAUCCGAAUCUGGACCUCCCAGAAGGGUUUAAAGUGCCAAAAUUUAACACUUUCGGAGGAAUAGGAAGUCCAUUGGCGCACCUAAGAGCCUACUCUGACCAACUCGUGGGAGUUGGAAGGAAUGAAGCCUUGUUAAUGCGUCUCUUUAGCCGAAGUUUAAGUGGAGAAGUGUUGGAAUGGUUUACCUCUCAUGAGAUAAACCAAUGGUCUAACUGGAACGCACUAGCUAAGGAUUUUGUCGAACGGUUCGCUUACAAUGUGGAGAUUAUUCCUGAUCGCUAUUCUUUGGAGAGAAUUAAACGAAAAUCCACUUAAAGCUAUCGUGAAUAUGCGUAUGGGUGGAGGAAAGAGGCCGCCCGUGUUUGACCCUCUAUGUUGGAGAAGGAGAUUGUUGAAAUGUUCAUACGCAUUCAAGAGCCAGAGUAUUAUGACAGGAUAAUGUUGCUCAUUGGAGCAAAAUUUGCGGAGAUAGUCAAGAUAGGUGAGACUUUCGAAGAUGGGCUUAAAAUCGGAAAAAUUUCUCGUGUUGCCGCCCCAAUUGAAUCUUCAGGAUUGUUGAAAAAGAAGAAAGAGGAUGUGUUUUCUAUUUCCUACGCAUCUGAUGGAAAUGACACUUCAGAAAAUCCUCACCUUACAAAGGUUGUCCUCAAGCUCCAUAAAAUUCAUAUCCAGUUUGUCAUACCCAAUCAAGUUAUCAAGCUCCACCACCGAGUUACCAUAUCCCACCUCCUAAUUACCAAACCCCACCACCGAAUUACCAAAUUUCACCUCUUGUUUACCAAACUCCACCACCACAUUAUAAAAAUACCCAUCUAUAAUAUCAAGCUCCAUCAUUUAAUUGUUCAAAUAUCCAAUCAAGUUGCCAAACUCCACACCCUCCUAGCCACAGAGCUCCACAAUACCUAAAUUUUCAGAUGCUAGCAUCACCUCACCAAAAUCCUCUAAAUUACUGUCAAGUACCUCCACAAAAUAAUUACAAUCUUACUUGCCUAAAUCUUGAGAAGAAACCUUCUAGAGUCUUCACCCCUUUGAUUGAAAGUCGAACACAACUUUUCGAGAGAUUAAAAUCAGCUGGCCUGAUACAGACAAUUUAUCCAAAAAACAUCAAUGUCAACUCCAAGUUUUAUGGACCUGAUCUUCAUUGUGCUUACCAUUCAGGAAGUGCUGGGCAUAAUACUGAAGAUUGUAUCGACUUGAAGCAUAAAAUUCAAAACUUGAUAGAUCAAAAGGUCAUCACUCUUCGGACGUCCACUCCUAAUGUCUAUUGUAACCCAAUGCCGAAUCAUGGAAGGGUGACAAUUAAUAUGAUUGAAGUUGAAGAAGAUUUGAAUGUGGAGAAUGUUAUAAUCUCAGCCAACCUUGAAAACUUGAGAAAGUUGUAGCCUCUCCAACCAACGGAGAGAAAUCUGUAUUGAAGAUCAUGGCACCUCAUUAAGCUUUUGCUUUAAUGCCAAAGGAGGGUCAGAACAAACAGAAGAUCGAUCAAACUUUUUCAAAAUCAUUGUCUCGCUCAUAUAAGUCUUUUCCAAUGCAAAAUGGUCUAGGGGAAGGGAUCAAAAAUUUGGUCAAAGAAGGUGAUAUUGUGCUUGAAGAGAUGAUUGAGACGCCAGUCAUACUAGACAACGAGCCAAAGGAGCAAAUGCCUAACUGGACAUCCACUCCGCACUUGAUUCCUCGCUCGUCUUGGUAGAAAUAGACAAUUUUUUAUGUUGUUUCUAAAUUGGUGGCGUUCCGAAUGAGACUCGAGACCAAUCCUUUACUCUAUUUUUGCCUCAAUAUGUUUUAAUCUCCCUCCUAAUAUUUUGAAGAAAAAAAAGAAAAAAAAAGAAAAAUGAUUUAUUGUGAUGGCCAGAGUUCUUAUUUUCUUAUUUCAAAUGAAGAACUCCUUUAUUGCGAAAAUUUGUUUUACUUGCUUUAUAUUUGCUCUGACAGUAUCUGUCUAUAAUUUCAGUGAAAAUAUUUUCAAAUCUGUCAAUAUCAUAUCAUGUCACAAGUUGAAUGAACAAAAUGGGGUAGAUGUAGACGAAUUUGAGGACAACAAUAAAAAGAUCAUGGUACCAAUAGCACCUGAUUGAGGAAUUCAGACAGUUUAAGAGUCACGAUGAGCCGAAUUCGGAAGAGAUCGGAAUAGUGAAUCAGGAAAAUGAUGAAUGCAUCAAAGAAAUCAAAAUUGGUGCAUAUCUGACCAAAGCACAGGAAAGAGAACUCAUCAGUUUGCUUAAAGAACACAUCGAUACAUUUGUUGAUAACGACAUUGCAUGGUUGAGCAUGAACAUUGGAUCUCACAAGUCCUCAAUCCACUUAAAUGUUGUCAAAAGAUACCAUGUUGGAAGACCCAAUUUAUAUUUGUUCCGUGUAAUCGUUUCUAUUUGCUUGUAAUAAUUUAUGUUCAGAACUUAUUCGUUUUGUAUUUUGAAUUACGUUCGACUUGAGUUUUUUUAAGAAUGAGAUACGUAGGCGGCCUAUGUCGGUUUCGGUCGAUUUUUUCGUAAAUUUCACAUUUUUGUUAAUCUUUGAGGGGGAACUAUGUUUGACCUGAUUCCUGCCUCAACGGGAUACGUAGGCGCCACAAGGGCUUAGUCAUAUCUCCCGAAAAAUUUCUAUAGAAACUGGGAUAGAAUUUUUGAGUCCCACUCAAAAAUUCUCAAGAAGAAGAUCUCUCCAACAAAGUGAGGACUGAAGUUAUUCAGGAUUUGCAAUCGGGAUAUAUUUUUUUAUAAGAUCUCAAAAAUAGCGUAACUUGCUCACCAACGGUUAAAGAUAAGCCAAGACAGUUCACUGGGACAGAAAUUUUGAGGAUGACCUCAAAAUUUCAACAGGGUUUAUCGGCAAUUUAGAGCAACUUUGAAUAUUUCCCAACGAGUAAUCAGAUAGAUCUCGAGACAUCACCUCCAAAUGACGUUCAUUAAGCUUGCAUGACAUGACACUUGACAGUGACCUUUUCCUAAUAUUACAUUUUGGAAAUUAUUUCCUUAAAACCUUCUUUCAUGCUUCAAUUAUUUUGCAUAAAAAUGUCUUGUCUUAUCUAUCAAGAAGUGGGAAAUCAGAGAAAUCAACCGGAGAGAGCAAGGCAAGGAGUAGACAACCGAAGAGAUCGACACAGAUCAGUUUAUUUUUAAACUAACAAUCUUUCUAUAGAUGUAGGUCCAUAGGUUUGCCACAAGAUUAGCACAUUCUUCAAUUUAAUGAAUAUGGAGAAGUUGAAAGGGCGAGGAACUCUCUAAAAUUUGACAAUUUUUCUGUCGAUGCAGGAAAUAUUUCAUGUUUCUUAGAUAUCAAAGAUUUGGGAAUAAGAGUAGCAUUAUUUCAUUCAAAUGCUCAACAAAGGAAAGGUCCAUAAUGAACAUGCAAUUAUGUUCUGAGAUAGAACAAAUGAAAACCUCGAAGAGGGAAAUUUUAUUUGUUUUCCAGCAACGAAAGAUACAUGGAAGACGUUUAUCUGCAUCAUAUUAUCAGAUACGAUAAUAUUACUACCUGGAGAGUUAUUUAUGUCAUAUUGUCAAAUGAGAUGAUAUCAUGCUCUGAGAGUCAUUUUUAUUAUUGUAAAAAAGACAAUGCUGCCACCAUAAGAUACCUAGAAGAUCACCUAUAUUGUUCGGUGAAACUUAUCUUCGUUCGGUACCAAUGAUGGCAUCAUCAGAAGAGAAAGAAGUCAUGCAUUGAAAGAGAGAAAUCAUGCAUUGCAAGAAAAAGAAAUCAUGUAUUGCAAGAGAAGAUUCAUGCAUUGCGAAAAGAGAUUCAUGUAUCACGGAAGAAAGUCAUGCAUAGCAAGAAAAGAUUCAUGCAUAGCAAGAGAAGGAUUCACGCAUCGUGAAAGAGGAGUCAUGCAUAGCAAGAGAAGAAAGUCACGCAUAGCAAGAGAAAAGGUCACGCAUCGCAGGAAAAAGAUUCAUGCAUCGCGAGAGAAAGAAGUCAUGCAUUGCAAGAGAAAGACAUUUUUAUUAUAUUGUCAAUUGAGACGAUACUGCCACCCAGAAGAUACCUAGAAGAUCACUUAUGUUGUCCGGUGAAGCAGCAUAUUCGUUCGGUACUGGGGAUGACAUCAUCAAAAGAUUCAUGCAUUGCAAGAGAAAGAAAUCAUGCAUCGCAAGAGAAAGAAGUCAUGCAUUGCAAAAGGAAGAAGUCAUGCAUUGCAAGAGAAAGAAAUCAUGCAUCGCAAGAGAAAGAAGUCAUGCAUUGCAAAAGGAAGAAGUCAUGCAUUGCAAGAGAAAGAAAUCAUGCAUCGCAAGAGAAAGAAGUCAUGCAUUGCAAAAGGAAGAAGUCAUGCAUUGCAAGAGAAAGAAAUCAUGCAUCGCAAGAGAAAGAAGUCAUGCAUUGCAAAAGGAAGAAGUCAUGCAUUGCAAGAGAAAGAAAUCAUGCAUCGCAAGAGAAAGAAGUCAUGCAUUGCAAAAGGAAGAAGUCAUGCAUUGCAAGAGAAAGAAAUCAUGCAUCGCAAGAGAAGGAAAUCAUGCAUUGCAAGAGAAGAUUCAUGUAUUGCGGAAAGAGAUUCAUGCAUUGUAAGAAAAGAAUCGUGCAUCGCGGGGAAAAAAUCCAUGCAUUGCAGGAAAAAAGAUUCAUGCAUCGCUAGAAAAAGUUUCAUGCAUGCAGGGAAAAGUCACCCUCAACUACGGUUUUCGAGGAAACAUCACCUAUAUUUUUCAAAGAAGCAUUAUCUUCAUGCAUCGCAAGAAGAUCAACAUCUACUGCAUCAUUUUUCUUUGCAAAAAGGACAUCAAGAGAACCAUCAAUAACGGUAUCAAGAGAAUUAUCAACAUAUUACAUUAGCAUAUUUUAUUACUUUGACAUUAAAGGAAGAGUACAUUAAAGAUUAUAUUGCAAAUAUAAGGCACAAACUUUGUUUGCUUUACGUCAAACCCGAUGGAGUUGAUGUCAAAUGUUCAAGGAGAACAAUUAAGUGUCAAUACGGUAAAAGACAUUGUCUCCCAUUUGAUUGCAUUUUUUUUACGCUAAUGAGUUUUAUCUCAGUCUUUGUCAAGAGCAUCCGAAAGGCUAAAUUCUCCAAAACAAAUCACAGGUGCGGACGGCAUAAAAAAAGAUGCAGUACAACGUGAAGUUUUUUUUCUUAGCAGCGAACUGGGACAUCAUUUUUCUUUGCAAAAACGACAUUAAGAGAACUAUCAACAUAUUACAUCAUCCUAUUUAAUUACUUUGACAUCAAAUAAAGAACACAUUGAAGAUUAUAUUGCAAAUAUGAGACACAAGCUUUAUUUGCUUUAUGUCAAACCUGAUAGGGUUGAUGUCAAAUGCUCAAGGAGAAGCAAUUAAGUGUCAACACGAUAAAAGACACUAUCUCUCCAUUUGAAUUGCAAUUUUUAUGCUAAUGAGUUUUAUCUCAGUCUUUGUCGAGAGCAUCCGGGAGGAUGAAUUCUCAAAACAAACCACAGAUGUGGACGACAUAAAAAAGGAUGCAGCACAACGUGGAACUUUUUCUUAGCAGCGAACUGGGAUAUAGUCCGAAGAGGAGUAUCAAACUCUUAGGACACGAGCUGAGGAGCGACUUCCACCACUAUCAAACCACACCCCUAUCAGAAGGCAUGUGGGUUUUCUUUAGGUUUAUUGGUUUCAAUUUGGCAUCCGGGAAACUUUUCACUCUCACCGGAAGCAACCUUUCUAAUCUGAAUGAUAAUGCACCAAGUGCUUUGGAAAUUAUGUCCAUGUAAGUUCUUAAUUAUGGGUUUGAAGGGCCCCACAUUCAUGGCUAAGAGGUUGCAAGCCUCUUUUUCAUACUCGACUUAUUUGUUACUCUUCCAGAACCAAGGGUAUCUAGCAUAAUAGAUAUCCUUUUUCAACUGAUCGAGUCGAACUACAAACAGCCUGAUUCCUAAGGUUUAAGGAUAUGUAGGUGGGAUCAAUGUUGAAAACUCGGCUGUAUUCCAACUUUCACUAUCAAAUCUUAUUCCCGAGCUUUUCGGUCUCCCCAUAAUUCGAUAUGGGAUAGCUUUUGAACUCUUUCAGAGUCGUGCAUUAAAUCAAUCAUAUAGAACUACAAGUGGCCGAAAUUCUCAUAUAGCCUGAGAUAUGUAGAAAACCCAAUUGCGGGGUUCGACCGUGACUCCUAAAAUACGUACCAAAAGCCCUUUCAUAGAAGAUGAAGAUGUGGUCGGUCAAAAUUGGAUUUGUCAAUUUCAUUUGCCUCAGAUCUCUUUCAUCAAUCCAAGUCAAACGAGGGACAGUUGUUGACACCCAAAUUUGGACCUCCACAAUAUAAAUUAAUCAUCGAACUUCCUAAAUUCUAAAUGAUUUGAAAUAAUUGGUUUUAUAAAAUUCAAAAUAAUUUUCAAAUCAUUUUAAGUAGUUCUAUCAUUUUUAUAAAUUUCAAAAUUAUAAAAAUGAUAGUUUCUAUAAUUAUGUGUCUAAUUAGUAUAUUUUGUGAAUGUUCGAAAAUUGUGUCAAAAGGAUUUUAGUUUUAUUUAAUUAUUUGGUUAUUUAGUUUAAAUUAAUUAAUAGCUUAUAUUUUAAGUUGAUUAGUUUAUAAUUAAGUUAAUUAUUAUAUAAUUAUGUAUAAUUAGUAUAUAUUAUGAAUAUUGGAAAAUCAUCUCAAAGAUUUUAUUUCUUACUUAAAUAUUUUUAUUAAAUUAGUUUAGUUUAAAUUAUGGUUUUAACUUUGAGUAAUUUAGUUUAGUUAAAUUUAUUAUCUUAUUCAAUUGAAAUUAGGAAGUUCAUUAAUUGAUUAUAUUAGUUCAUCUCAUUUAAAUUUUAGCCAAAUUCUUUACAUAACUUUCUUAAUACACUUGGCUAUUGUAUUUAUAAAUAUACCCAUUUCUAUAAUCCUAAUUUCAACUCUUAAAAUGUCAAAUUUUGGGGCCAUUUACAAAUUGCAGCAUCCAUUUUUUUUCCCUUUUUUCAAUUCAAACAGCAGCCCACCCUUUUAAUUCCCCAAACUCACAAUACAUAUAACAACAAAACAACGUACACCAACCGACCCAACCCAUUUUCCCUUCAAAUUCAACGCAUACAUCAGCAACAGUGGCCAAACGACCCACCUGUGUUCUCUUCUUCUUCAGCAGUCCAAAAUGUCAACAGCAGCCUGUUGCCUCGGAUUUUCUGGGAUUUUGGAGGAAUUUUAGUACCAAACCAUUUGCUCCCUGUUCCUUGAAAAGGAUUUUGAAAAUUUGAAUUGGAAAAAGGGGGAAUUCCGUGGUUGCCCUGCUUCUAUCUGAUUUCCCCCUCAAAGCGUAAACCUUAGUAUUUUUUCCUAUAUAUACGUCCUCUUUAUUAUUUGUGGAGGGGGGGGGGGGGGGAAUUUUUGAAAUNNNNNNNNUAUUUGUGGGGGGGGGGGGGGGGAGAAAUUUUGAGAAUUAAAAAAAAGUUGGGAAAUUUUUAGUUGGAUUUCACUUAGCAAGAGAAUACAAAGAGAGUUUGGGCUCGCAGUGGUGUGGAAAUCGCUACCUUUAAGCUCGUCGUUCUCGUUCACUUCCCCGCAACAGCACUAUCGAGUUGAACUCAUCAUUUUGAGAAAUUGGAAGCUGAAACAGGUCUCAAAAAGCAGAAAAAUGGGCUGUAUACAUCCGAUAUACACCGAUAUGCAUCAUCUGUAUACCAAAAACGGGUUUUGGUUAAACCCCAAAAAUACCAACGAAAUUGGCCCAAAAGGGGGCCUGAAUUCAAUUUCUCCCUUACUCUUUAAUUAUUUAAUUGAGAUUAUUUAUUGUUUGUUGUUUAACUCUAACUUUAUAAUUAUAAAUUAACUUAGUUGAAUUCCCCAAAAGACGAACUAUUUCUCUAUGUUGUUGUAUUUCUAACAAAUCUCAUUUUAUCAACUCUUGUAUUUUCAUUUAUAAUCUUUAGUCAAACUUUUUUUAUUUUUUAUUUUUAUUAGUUUAAAAUAGUUUUUCAUAAACCAAAAAAUGACUCAAAAUAAAAACCAAUUAAUUUAGUUUCGUUAAAAUUCUAAUUAUUUGUCUCUAAUUCAAAUGUUUCAAUUAAGAUCCCAUUUUUAAAAAAAUAAUAAUAAUAAUAAUAAAAAUCGCUGUUUGUUAAACUAUUUUCUCAAAGUUAAUCUAAUAAUGUAAAUUAUUAUUAUAUAUAUAUACUUAGUCGUUUUCUCAAAAAGGUUAGUCAAUUAAUUUAAAAUGAUUUUCAUGCUUUAAUUUAUUAAAUUGGUUUAAAUCAUUAUUUCAAAAUGAAUUAAAUAAAUUCUAAUUAAUCUAUUUUAUUUAAUAUUAUAAUCACUUGUAUUUCGAGUCAAAUAUUUCAUUUUGGAUCCCUUUUUCUAAAAACAAUAAAAUGUGUCAUUUAUUUAGCUAUUUUUCUCAAAUUUAACCAAAUAUCGUAAAUUAUUAUUCUUAUGUUAAAUUACUUUUUUUCUAAAAAAGUCAAAAAUAUAUUUUAGUCAAGUCGCAGGUCAACCGUAUAUUAGCGGGCACUUCGAAUGUUUAAAUCCUUCUCGAAGUGUAAAUUGAACCCCGAACCCUCUUUCAUAUUUUCACAUGAUUUUUUCUGUUUAAAUCUUUGAAAAUUAUAAGUUUUCUUAAUUUCUUUAAAAAAUUAAGUGGCGACUCUUUCUAAGUAUUUCUCUAAUUGUUUUUAUACUUAGAACAUUUCAAAAAGUAAUUUUUCUAAAAGGUUAGGAAAAUUACGGCACAACAAUAAUAUGCCUCAUCUAUUAAGAUAUCAACUUCGAUAAUAUAUGUAUCUAUCGGUGAUAAUGUCCAUUUUAAACUUACGUCUAUAAAACUUUAAAAUACAUUCUAAAGAUCUAAAACUUGUUUUUCUUAAUAUGCCUAGCAAAUCUUAUAUGGUUCAAUGGGCUAAUUCAUCCAUGUUUUAGAAUAAGGUCACUUGUCAAACUAAUCAUCAGAGAAAGAUUCAAUAUUUAAACGCUAUGAAUAUCUCUCUGGUUAUAACGAACAGAAGAAAAGUUUUAGAGACGAAGAGCAUAUAGCUAGGCCAUUAUGUUGAAGAGUUUUUGAUUGUGAAAUUUCAAUUCCUCAUAUAGCUUACACAAUUUUCUUACAUCUCAUACCUUAAAUAAUUAACACUGAUGUAAAUUUGUAAAUAAAAUGAAGGAAAAAAUAAACUUUUAAAUAUUUAGGUGUACUCUUAUACUAUAUAUAUAAAAAAUACAGUAAAUGCAUCUUUAUUAUUUAAAGAGCAAUAAUUAAAGACAGUUUGAUAAUUAUGGAUUAAAUAAUAUAUAUUUUGAAGAUUGAAGAAUGUAUAGACACUUUACUGUCCUCAUUCAUAAGAUAUAUAUGAGGAAUUAACAAUAUAAUGCUGCUAUUAUUGCAGGAAGCAUAUCAUGUGAAUUUCUUCUAAUAUGUCCAACAAAAUGUCUAAAACAAAAUUAUUUUUAGAUUUUAAAAAUAGGAAAAAGAGCAAAUCUCAUAAUUGGAAAACACAAUUAGUUCAUCAAUUAUUAUUAAGGUUUGAUGUUUCCCAACAGCAACGUAAAUGGAUAAGGUCAAACAAAUCAAGAUUAAAGAGUUUUUAGGAGUUCUCUACUUUUUUUCUUUUUUCUUUUUUCAAUUAAACUAUCAUAAUAGUUGUACUCCCUCCACUUUUACACUCUUUUUGUUUCAAAUUAUCUAUUGUAUUUUGUCUUUUACAUGUCUUUUAAAAAGAUAUUACUAUCUUCGUUCAAAAUAAAUGAAUUUUUGAGAUGUGAGACCCCUCUUUAAAAAUUAAUUAAAGAUAUUAAAUUAAAGAAUUAUUUAAUUUAGUCAUUAAAUAUAUGGUAAUUUAUAUAAUUUGCUUCUUCUUAGACUUUUCUUAAAAAGAGAUAUAGUCAUUAAAGAUAUGGGUAAUCUUUUUUUUUUUUUUUUGGGGGGGGGGGGGGGGGGGCGGGGGGUNNNNNNNNNNNNNNNNNNNNNNNNNNNNNNNNNNNNNNNNNNNNNNNNNNNNNNNNNNNNNNNNNNNNNNNNNNNNNNNNNNNNNNNNNNNNNNNNNNNNNNNNNNNNNNNNNNNNNNNNNNNNNNNNNNNNNNNNNNNNNNNNNNNNNNNNNNNNNNNNNNNNNNNNNNNNNNNNNNNNNNNNNNNNNNNNNNNNNNNNNNNNNNNNNNNNNNNNNNNNNNNNNNNNNNNNNNNNNNNNNNNNNNNNNNNNNNNNNNNNNNNNNNNNNNNNNNNNNNNNNNNNNNNNNNNNNNNNNNNNNNNNNNNNNNNNNNNNNNNNNNNNNNNNNNNNNNNNNNNNNNNNNNNNNNNNNNNNNNNNNNNNNNNNNNNNNNNNNNNNNNNNNNNNNNNNNNNNNNNNNNNNNNNNNNNNNNNNNNNNNNNNNNNNNNNNNNNNNNNNNNNNNNNNNNNNNNNNNNNNNNNNNNNNNNNNNNNNNNNNNNNNNNNNNNNNNNNNNNNNNNNNNNNNNNNNNNNNNNNNNNNNNNNNNNNNNNNNNNNNNNNNNNNNNNNNNNNNNNNNNUUUUUUUUUUUUUUUUUUUUUUUUUUUUUUUUUUUUUUUUUUUUUUUUUGUUGGGGGGGGGGGGGGGGGGGGGGGGCGUUGGGUUUCAAUUAAUCCAUUUGUUUUAUAUUAGUUGUCUUAUUUUUCUCUUUAUAAGCUCCUUUAAAAAAUCAUAAAUAAGAAAGAUAGAUUUACUAAUUUAUAACUCCGUAAAAUACAUUUUAAAACUUUACAAACUUAGUUACACUUUCAAAUAUAAUUAAUUUAAAGUGUAAAUGAUUUUUUUUAAUUCUAUCUUAAAUUUGUAUUGACAAAUAAUUUAAAUUAAUUCUUUUUAUAUAUAUAGACAACUAAUUAUAUGAGACGGAGUUGAGACGUGAAAGGGGGGAGUAAUACAUUUUUGAAUUUUGAAACAUUUAUUGAUUUUGUACCAUAAAGAAAAGUGCUAGAAAUUCAUUCAUUGGAAUGGAUGAAGUAAUUAGGGGGGAUUUUUUUACCUCUUCACCUCUCCAUCAAUAUAUGAAAGACAAAUAUUGCAUAGGUCAAAGUAGCUCUUGCUUAGUAAAUUCAAAUUUGACCAAGAACUUUUGGAAAAUAUUUAUUUAAUCGUAAGUGAUCAAUUUACUUUCAAAAACAUAUAAUGCAAGUGGUAAAAUUGAAAAAAAAAAUUAUCCUGAUAUUUAAAAAAGAUGACUAGUUUUUAGUUGAGAAAAUGACAAUUAAAUGUGAAGGGGUAUCAUUUAUGCCAAUAAAACCAUAUAAACUCGACAAUACCUUUUUUAAAAAUAAAAAUAGGUCCAUAUAUCUGGAACAAAGAAAUACUGGGUUUUGAUAGAUCCAUUGAGUCCGGAACGUUGAGCUUAGUUUGGUAGCAUAUUUGAUUUGUGUAUGGGGUUCCAAACAAAUCCCAAAGGUCCAUUCAGAGACUUGUUUAUUGGCUAAUUUUCUAAUGUCUCAUAUCUGAUGUGCCUCUCGUUCGCGAAGGGUUGACUGUUUUUGCGACCUUCACGUUAGCGAAGAUCUGAUCGUGUUCAUGAGGGGUCGAGUUUUUUGACACUCGCGUUAGCGAGGGUCAGCUCUCUUUCGCGAUAGAGUAGCCCCAUCGCGUUCGUGAAGGGUCAUUUUAUCCGGGGGUUACAUUCGCGAUUAGAUCGUCGCAUUCACAAACCUAAGAUUGCGCUCGCGAGACCCCUGACAAUUUGUUUUCAAAAUUGAGGUUUCAAUCCCAUUAUCCAUUUUCAAACUUUGAUAGCUCUAUUUUGACAAUUUUAAUGAGUUUUUUCAAGAUACAUUACGAUUUCUAAUUCCCUAACUCUUUUACCCAUUAUUUAGUUCAUGAUUUUGAUGAUUAAACAUGAGUUUUGAUCCCAACUUGAAAGAUUUUUAAAGAAUUUGAUGAUAUUGGAUUGAUUUCAACUUCGUUUUCAAAAUGAUUUUCACCAUUAGUUUCCAAAUGUUUUGGGUAACGCAUUGUCACAAAUAUCAGAUUUAACCUUCACUUUCGAAAUCAAGUUUUUGGGUCGAUUUGACCAUGUUUUCUAAAUUGCUUGAUACAAUUGUUAGUUUCAAAAUCUUAUAGUGAAUACUUGCUUGAAUAUAUUGUGUUGAUUCAGAUACUGUUCGAAAGGGAAAAGCUUAAGUGUCAGAUUGAGUAUUGAGUUGUUGAGGCAAGUGAACUUUUAGACCUUUAAUUUGUUAAAGCUUAGUAGAAUCUUGUAUUUUUCUUAUUGUAUGUAUUGGAGAGUAAUGAAAAUUGGUGAUGAGUUGAAUUGUUCACAUCAAUUGAUCUUAAUGAUAAUAAGGGGAAUAAGGCAAUGUGUUGGUAAUUUUUGUGUGGUAUACGAUGAAUGACUUGAGUGGUAGUAUUGGUCCAUUAUUGUUGAAACACUAUAAUUGUAUUGUUGUGAUUGGGAAUGAUAUGGAAUUGUCACUUCUUCAUUAUGGUGUAAACAUGCCUAUUUGCAUUAGAUCUGAAACAUUGUGACGAGAUCUAUUGUGAUUUUGCUGAUGGAAAAUGAUUUCGACGAGUGAUAUUGAUGGCGAUGGAAAAUGAUUCUGGCGAGUGAUAUUGAUGUCCACGUUUUGUUCCGACGGGUACAUAUAUCUUGUGUUUCCCCAUGAAUUUCGAUAUGAAAUUCAGUGGAUGUGUAUCGUAAGACAGACAUGCAUCAUUCCACAUGACAUUGCACAUCAUUGCAUCACAUUUCAUGAAUUAUGAUUAUUGAUUCUAUAUUGUUGAGACUAUUGAUUGUGGACUAUUGUGAUAAUAGACUAUUUGUGUUGAGAUGCGAUUUGAGUUAUUUCUUAUAUGUUUUGUUAUGAGGUGUGGGAAUUGUUGGAAACUUUGAUUGAUGAACUUGAUAAUUGAUUGUGGUUGAUCUGUAAUUGUUGAGGCAUUGCUAUUGAACUAUGUGUUACUUGCAAUUGUGAACUUUUAAGUUGGGCUGAACUCUGUGCAGAUUAAAGUUUGUGGAGGUUCGAUUGGGAUGAAAGGAGUACUCGUAUUCUAUUUGCUUUACAUUGUGUUUAGUGGUUAGCUUGUUGAAUAUUGUAUUGUUUAGUACUCACACCUUGCUUCUAGUGUAGGUUACGAGUUCAGAUCUACGCGAUCAUUCUUCUUCUCUACUUCGAGCGAGGGUGGAGACUUGAGAGGUAAUUGUUUGUCACCUCAGCAGACCUUCUUGUUCCUUAAUUAUUUAUGUUAUUGUUCUUACUUUAGAAACAAAGACAUUGAGACUUGUAUUUCUUUCAAUUCAUUUGUAAUACAUAAGUGACUUAUACACAUGACAGCCAAGUUUUAAGGGUAUUUAUAGAUUGACUAAGUUAUCCGCAUUUGUGUUAUUGAUAGUUUAUCUUCUGUAUUUCCACCGUAUUGUUUGGGUUUUAGGCUGACUUGUCUUGGUGGGAUGAGAUGAGUAUCAUCACGUACAUUUUCGAAUCGUGACAUUAUCAAAUCAAACAUCAUAUUAAUUUUAUACAUAAAUUAUUUCUUUUAUAAUUAAUUACCAAACCUUAAAUAACUUAUAUACAAAUUAAUACAUGAAUAUGUUACUACUCCCUCCGUCUCAUUUUAUAUGUCAUCCCUUUCUAUAAAUAGGUGGACCACAAUACUUGUCAUUUUAUAAAAUUUAUGUAUAAAUUUCCAUAUUUUGCAUAUUAUACCCUUAAUAGAAUAGUUAAUUCAUCUUGUCAUUUAUUAAUAAAGUUGACUUAAGAAAACAUUAAAUAAGGGUAGAAAGAUAAAAUUACAUCAUUUCUUAAUGCGAGUGCAAAGUAAAAAUGUGACAUAUAAAAUGAGACGGGGGAGUAUUACCUAGUAUAUUCAAUCCAACUAAUUGGAGAUUAAAAUAAAAUGAAAAUGGAACAUUUAUCAUAGUACGUGCAGACGUACUGCAGGGCUAGAUACCAUUAGAUCAUAAGCAUAAUUUUUUUUAACGGAAAAUAUAUUUGGCAGGACACAUUUUUGGUAGGAAUUGUCACGAGCAGUUAAUUUCAGGUAAUGUUGUAAUUUCUGAGAAAUGGGAAGGGUGAUUGGGUAAAUUCAUUUAUUUCUUGUACCCAAAGUACCCUCCAAAAUAAAACUACUAAAAGAAAAAUCUUAAACCAUUAGAUGGUUUCAAGAAAUUAUACUGCCCAAAAAAAAUUUCCUUCUCAAUAAAAAACACUACCCAAGAAGCAUUUAUUGUAGUUUAUUCUUCCAAUUAUUGUUAUCUUUCAUUGUUCUUCCUUUUUAAUAACACUUGUUUUUAAGGGGGGAAAUAAGGUAUAUUCAUUAAAUUUUAAAAAUAUUCUUUAAAGUAAUAUUUAUUAAUUUAUUGAUUAAUUAAUACCUCUACAAAAUAAUAAUAAUAGUUUACAAUUUCAAUAAUUAUAUUCCAUGUUGAGAAUAACAUUACUAAUUUUCAUGAAAUUCAAAAUAUUUAAUGAAUCCAUUAUUUUAUAGUUAAAUUAAUAUUUUUAUAAUAUUUCCUUAAGAGUAUUAAUUGUAGGGAUAAAGUGAGAAAUUUUUUUAACUAAUUUUAUUUUAAUUUAAUGAAUAAACAAGUAAUUUAAUAUAUAUAUAUAUAUAAACUAACUAACACAACUAAUAUGAGAUGGAGAAAGUAUUGAAUUGCGACGUAAAAGAAAAUAUAAACCUCACUCCUAAUGAAAUGUCAUGCCAUGUUAUUAUUAUUUUUAACAAUAGAAUAAAAACAUUUACCUCGCUCUUGAAUUUUAUAAAAAGUAACAAAAUUUAAAAUUAACUAAUAUUUAUUAUUUAUAUGUAAAUAUUUUAAAAAGUUAUUAUCUUAUUUAGUCAAGUACGUUAAUUUAAUAUUGUUAGUACAAUUUUUUUUGUUCUAAUAUAUAUAUAUAUAAAAGAUGAUGUGACACCUCUCUAAGGCCACCAUUCAUAUUUAUCUUUUUUUCUCCUUUAUUUUUGAUAUUUUUCUUUAUUUUCCCCUAUUUUCUUAAUUAAAGUAGAAUAAUUGAAUGUAAUUAAGACUUCUCAAUUCUUCAUUAAUAAAUAUAAUAAUUAAUAUAAUAACUUAUACACAAUAAAUUAGUAUGAUUGUUUAAAAAAAAUUCCAAUUUCAUUAAUUUUUUUAUUCAAAUUUUUGACAUUUUUGUAUGAUUGUUAAAAAAAUUCCAAUUUCAUUAAUUUUUUUAUUCAAAUUUUUGACUUUAUUUUUUUUUCUAUUUGUAUAAAUUAUUAGAAAAUCUAAAACUAUUUCUUGAGAUUCAUUUAAACAACAAAGAUUGAUAUCAAUUUUCAUGAAAUAGUUCCCACGUAACUAUAAACGUUAAGCACUAUUUUCUCUCUUCUUUAUUCCAUAUUCACUCUUAAUAAUAUUCAUAACUUAUACUUUUCAUAUUCAUAACUCCUAAAUAUUUAAUUUAAAAUUUAAAACACCUUAUGGUAUUCCAUCAUUUUAUCUUUGUAAAUAUGAUCAUUCUAUUAUUUCAUAUUUGAAGUAGUAAUAUAUAUAUAUAUAUAUAUAAAUUUUAAAUCUUGAAGAAUAAAAUUAUAUUAUAUUUAUGUUUUAAUUUUGAAGAAUAAAAUUCUUCAAUGAAGAUCGGCUUGUGAAAUGAAUACCGAUAACGAUAAGGGUUCGAAGAAUUAUGAAUUGAUGAAUCGAUGAAUCGAUUUAUUGAAUUCAUAUUAUUUUUUAUAAUGGACGUUGUAAAAAUAAUGCUUGUAUUUAUUACUUUCUCUUUUAUUUAUUAUAUAUUUUCUUGAUAUCUUUUAGCUUGAUUUUUACAUUAUUCAUGUAAUUGUUGUUAUUAAGAGCAUGUAUAAGGUAGUUAAAUUUAUGCUCAAGUUAUUUGACAUUUUUUUCGUAGAGAUUUUCUUUGUGCCCUUUUUCUUAUUAUAAAAUGACAAAUAUAACUUCUAAUAUUUUAAGUUUUUCUAAUUUAAUAUAUUUAUAAAUAAUAACUACUCAUACCCUUUAAUUUUAGUCUUGAUAAUUUCAUAACUUACGAGUAUAGUUGUAACUCCUGAGUGGUAUAAAAAACAAUACGAGAAUCUAAAUCGCACCACGGAGGUCGUUGUGAAAACCCUAUUCUAUGUUAAUUGGAAGACGUUGGACAUCGGUCCUAAGAAGUUGCUGGAUCAAAGUAAUACAUUAUACAUCUGCCCGCCAGCAUCAGAGGGGGUUUCAAUUCCCCUUAUAUGCAGUUUAUGCUUGUAGCUACCCCCGGGGAAUACGUGUAAUAGCCCCGCGGGGAACCCCAGCCCGGAGGCGGGAAUCUCUUUUAAUUUGUAUCUGCGAUUGGUCUUUCCUGCAGCUGGACCGCACCGAGGAUGUUCAACCGAUCUCUUACAAGGGUGUAGAGCAGUCUAGUAUGGGAUUUGCAUAACGCUUUCAUCUUGAAAAUUCCAUAACAUCUUGGAAGAUUCACAAGGAGAUCAAGACAUCGACUACAUCGUUUUUCUCAAAGUACUCUAGCAAGGGUGAAUUGAUCAAGAUAAGUUGUCCCUUGAGUUUAAAUUAUUUUCCCUUAUUUUAUAUAAUUAUUUUUUUAUUUGACAUGAUGGGAGUAUAAAUAUCAUACAUAAAACAGUACCAUAUUAACAAUUGUUUAUAUUUUUUGUGUUUUAUAUUAUUUUAAUUAAAUAAUUUAUUUUGAAUUGAUGAGUUGAUUUAUUGAAUUCAUAUUUAUUUAAUAAUGGAAAUUGUAAAAGUGAUGCUUGUAUUGUAUUACUUUCUCCUUUAUUUAUUUAUUUAUUGUAUGUUUUCUUGAAGGAAGACUUAGAAGAAUAUUUUUUGAAGCAUAGUUAGGAAUUACUUUUACUAGAGAUUUUUUCUUUACUUUGACUUGUAAUAUAUAGUAACUUAAUUAAGUAACACAUACGGACAUUUUUGCUCAUUUAGUCCUCUAUGAUCCUACUUUUUAUUGUAAAACAUAAUUAAUAUAACUAUCUUAUUUCAAUCAAAAGAAUUAUGAGAAUAAGUUAUAUUUUAUUUUUCUCUUAAAGAAAAUUAAAGAUGAAAUAAAUUAUUAUAUGACAUCAUUGCUUAUUCUUAUGCAUAUGUAACAAUUUGUUUUUGUUCGCUAUUCUUUUUCUUUGCUUUGAAGUGUAUUUUAGAAGUUUUCUUUUUCUAUUUUUUAUUACUUUUGUUGAAUAUAAUAAUGUAGAUUAUUAUUUUUAUUGUCUUAGCUACAUAAUUAUAAAAAUCUAUGCCUAUAUAUUAUUUUCCUUAAUACUAAACAAUUCAUUUUGUUACUACAUAAAAUUUUUGACAUUAUAAUAUAUAGUGGAUUACUGUUUUAAAUGUUUAGGUAUGGGCUGAAGGAUCAGUUGAAGAGAAAGUGCAACGGCUAUUGAUGACUUGGGAAAUGGAAAUAGUCCAUAAGGCAGAUCCUAAUGAGCUCAAAACUAUGGAUCCAAACAAGUUCACAAUUAGUGUUAAUGGUACACUUCUCUCACAGUUUCUCUUACUCUUUACCUAAGGGUGUAUUUGAUACGGACAAAAAUAUAUUGUUACAAUUUUUUUAUGUUUGGUAAUUUUUUGGAAAAUCAUUUUCUCUAGGUAUAUUUUUUUCUUAAAAAGAUGAGGAAAAUGACUUUAGAAAAGAAAUUUCAUAAGUGAAGUUAGAGGUAGAGUAAAAUUUUAUUUUAUGAGUUCUGAAUUUGAGAAUGACGAGUAUAAGAAAUCUUACAUUUUAUUUUUCUUCAAUAAACAAACACAACACGUGAAUCACCAAUUCAAUUCAGUUGGAUGGUCCAUAUCCAUGUGGGAAUAUAAUAUGGUAUAUAUAUAAAUAAUUAUUUUUAAGUGAUUAUGACUGAGUUCUAAAUCUAAUAUUUGUAUAUUUUUAAAUAAAUAAACUUCUUGAUACAACUAUGAGUUCGACCGAACCUAUAAUUGGACUUCUAGCUCCGCACUCCUACCCAUUCUCCAGCACACCCACCCC
rnacentral:lncRNA from 1 species